rfam:Tupaia chinensis contig210741, whole genome shotgun sequence.
AGCCCAAUGGUAUUCUUAACUUAUUUCUGAAUCUCUGAUACUUAAGGGUCUUCGGUGUUUUUAAAUAAUUAUUUUUGGGGGA